AUUGAAUUUCUUUUGAUGCUAGUGAAAUGCUUUUUAGUUAUAUGCAAGGCAUAUCCAAAUGCAUACAGAAUUUUUCCAAUCCAGAAAAACCACAUCCAUUAUCCAAAAAAGCAGCUACUAUUCUCCUUGUCACUUCUAAUGGUUUUCUUUUUUCUUUGGACCUAAUUUAUGGUGAAGAUAAUUGUUCACUAACAUUCUGUUCACAUAUCACAGAAAACGCUCAUCUUUGCUGAACUCACACUAGUACUUGGCAAGAACGUAAAGCAAAGUGAUUUACUAUAGCAAAUUAGACAUGCUAAUUCAUUUAUUAAUAGUUUUUAAUUGAGUAUCAGUAAUAAUGAAAUUAGAAAAAUUAUUUAUGUUGGUACCUUGACUUAGGAGUGUCUUGACUUACGUGUGUUUCGAGAUACAAGCAGUCUCCCUUGCUUUGAAUUGACAGUUAAAAUUCAGGUUACAAGCAGUGGCUAGCGGUAAAGUAAGUGCCGCCCGGAGCAUA
rnacentral:lncRNA from 1 species